rnacentral:rRNA from 1 species
GACGAACGCUGGCGGCGUACCUAAUACAUGCAAGUAGAACGCUGAAGGAGGAGCUUGCUUCUCCGGAUGAGUUGCGAACGGGUGAGUAACGCGUAGGUAACCUGCCUGGUAGCGGGGGAUAACUAUUGGAAACGAUAGCUAAUACCGCAUAAGAGUAGAUGUCGCAUGACAUUUGCUUAAAAGGUGCAACUGCACCACUACCAGAUGGACCUGCGUUGUAUUAGCUAGUUGGUGAGGUAACGGCUCACCAAGGCAACGAUACAUAGCCGACCUGAGAGGGUGGUCGGCCACACUGGGACUGAGACACGGCCCAGACUCCUACGGGAGGCAGCAGUAGGGAAUCUUCGGCAAUGGACGGAAGUCUGACCGAGCAACGCCGCGUGAGUGAAGAAGGUUGUCGGAUCGUAAAGCUCUGUUGUAAGAGAAGAACGAGUGUGAGAGUGGAAAGUUCACACUGUGACGGUAUCUUACCAGAAAGGGACGGCUAACUACGUG